CGUGUAGGCGGGAAUGUAAGUCGGGCGUGAAAUCCCUAGGCUCAACCUAGGAACUGCACUCGAAACUGCGUUUCUUGAGUAUCGGAGAGGAAAGCGGAAUACCUGGUGUAGAGGUGAAAUUCGUAGAUAUCAGGUGGAACACCAGUGGCGAAGGCGGCUUUCUGGACGAUAACUGACGCUGAGACGCGAAAGCGUGGGGAGCAAACAGGAUUAGAUACCCUGGUAGUCCACGCCGUAAACGAUGAGUGCUAGGUGCUGUGGGUAUUGACCCCCGCGGUGCCGAAGCUAACGCAUUAAGCACUCCGCCUGGGAAGUACGGUCGCAAGACUAAA
rnacentral:rRNA from 1 species